CCCGCUGAACUUAAGCAUAUUAAUAAGCGGAGGAAAAGAAACCAACUGGGAUUUCCACAGUAACUGCGAGUGAAGUGGAAAAAGCUCAAGCUUAAAAUCUGGAGCAGUCUAUGCUUCCGAAUUGUAGUUUCGUGAACGGCUUCACGGGCAGGCUGCUAUAGUAUAAGUCCCCUGGAACGGGGCGCCAAAGAGGGUGAUAGCCCCGUGUACGACUAUAGAGUCCCGGCCUGUCAAUACGUGCUGCUAGUUCAAAGAGUCAGGUUGUUUGGGAGUACAGCCUAAAGUGGGAGGUAAAUUCCUUCUAAAGCUAAAUAAUGGCGAGAGACCGAUAGCGAACAAGUACCGUGAGGGAAAGAUGCAAAGAACUUUGAAAAGAGAGUUAAAAGUGCUUGAAAUUGUUAAAAGGGAAGCGAUUGGAGGCAGUACAUGUCUGCCGUCGACUCAUUCAUCAGUUUAGGAUUAAGAUGGUAUUAUGAGUGAUCCUUCGUGGUUACCACAGUAUUGUUUUGGUUUUGAAUUAAUGGAGCAUUUCGGCGGUAGAUGAGUCAACAUCAGUGAGAGAAGGGGGAGAAUGACUUUAGGGAGGUGAUACCUGCUAAUCUUCGGGUUGGUUUUGGUGUGUUAAACCUAGAGUAGAUACCCUUUCUAUUUUCACUGAGGCAUCCUUACGGGUGAUAACUGGCGCCUUUUUGGCGGAGUAAGGGUGGUUCUGAGUGUUAUUAACGAGGAGGACAGCUUGCUGUGCUUUUUGAUUAGUAAUGCUUACCUACUAUCUACUGCCAUGCCAGUUAGUGAUGUUGACCGAAUGUUUCUAACCGUCCCGUCUUGAAACACGG
rnacentral:rRNA from 1 species